UGGGGAAUAUUGCACAAUGGGGGAAACCCUGAUGCAGCGACGCCGCGUGAACGAAGAAGGUAUUCGUAUCGUAAAGUUCUGUCCUAUGGGAAGAUAAUGACAGUACCAUAGAAGAAAGCUCCGGCUAAAUACGUGCCAGCAGCCGCGGUAAUACGUAUGGAGCGAGCGUUGUCCGGAAUUAUUGGGCGUAAAGGGUACGCAGGCGGUUUAAUAAGUCGAAUGUUAAAGAUCGGGGCUCAACCCCGUAAAGCAUUGGAAACUGAUAAACUUGAGUAGUGGAGAGGAAAGUGGAAUUCCUAGUGUAGUUGUGAAAUACAUAGAUAUUAGGAGGAAUACCAGUAGCGAAGGCGACUUUCUGGACACAAACUGACGCUGAGGUACGAAAGCGUGGGGAGCAAGCAGG
rnacentral:rRNA from 1 species